AUACUAAAGUAGUAAUAGAUAUAGGCUUGAAACUUAAAGAAUUUGGCGGUAUUUUAAUCUUUUCAGAGGAACCUGUUCUAUAAUCGAUAUUCCACGUUAAAUUUUACUAAAUUAUUUAUAUAUCGUUGUCGAAAGAAUAAAUUUUCUAGUAUUUUAAAGAAAAUAGAUGUCAAAUCAAGGUGUAGUUGAUAAUUUAGAAGAAAUGGGUUACAAUAAAUUUAUUUAGAAAAUUUUGGAAGGAGGAUUUGAAAGUAAAUUAAUUUUAAUAAAUUUAAUUGAUUAUAGUUCUAAGAUAUGU
rnacentral:rRNA from 1 species